rnacentral:lncRNA from 1 species
CUCAGUUCCUGGCUAACCCACUGCAGGGACCUCUUGUUACAGAGCUGGAUUCUUUUUCUCAAUGUUUACAAAGGAGAGGAAUUGGAUGCACUGCUGAGACAACUGGCAUGAGCACUGUGCUCAGUUCAAACAUUUAUAAUUCCAGUAAAAGAGCAUUCUGCUUCAAACAGGUUCUUUGCGGCGACAGUAGCAGAAUGACCUCAUGAAUCUCUUUCUCCUGAUGCACUUGGCCAACAGACAAAUGCUUGAUAGAGCCAUUUUAACACUGACCCAACCUAACCAAGACAUUGGGAAACAGUGCUAUCACUGCACUGAUCUGGCAGGGAUGUAAAAGGUAAGGUUAUUAAAAGACUUUUAGAGUACAAAAACCAUUAAACCUAACAUGAAAAAGUGGUUAAUUGUCUUGUAUGAUGAUGAAUAUUAGGGAAAAUAUCCCAUGAAAAUGUAAGAGCUUUAGGGACUCAGUAAUCUAAGUCAUUCAGUCCCCCUUGAAUUUGCGUUGGUCUUUUGAUUCACUCACCAAACAGACAAUUCAGAAAACCAAAAAUCACAGGACGACUGCCAUCUCCACACGCUGGCAGCCUCCUCCUAGAGGCAGUUAGAGGGCUGGCAGAUUUCACCCUUUGAGAAUGAUUACAUACUCUCCGCUAUUUCUUCAGGAUGCUUCCCAUUGGCCAAAAACUUGAGAUUUCAACAAGUGGAAAUGUUUUUUAUACCCUCUGCAUUGUCAACACCCACCACCUAAACAAAGUCCUGAAAGCAUUAAAGGACUUAGUUGUAACACUUUCCUUGUGUUUUUCUGUGUAAUUUAAAAUAGUUUGUCCGCUCGCUGUAUGCUGAGGUUUUUGAUGUCAGUGAAAGGAAUAUUUACAGUGUUUGCAUUUUCCAUUUUCACAGGCACCACUGCAGUUCAAGAGUUGAGUCAUUUGCUUGUUGGAAGAACAAAUACUGUUGUUCCAAAUACCAUAAAAAUGAUUAAAAGUUUAAAGCUGCAGUUCUGGAGAGAAAAUGUAAACAAUUAUAUUUUCUUUGUUUUGCAGGGACGUUUGAGUCCUGUCUUCAAAGCCUUCCCACCAAAGGAAAUGCUCAUGCAGGCUCAAAAACCCUCACUAUGGCUUAAAUACCUGUGUAUGAGUAGCUGCCGGUUGGAGAUGUGUGACAGUGUUGACAGUAUCUGA